GUCAAUAGUCCAAUUUUGCUAAGCCUAAAGUCAAUAUUCUUCUCCAUGAGAUAAACGGAAAGACCGGGCAGCCUGAGUUGCUAUUUUUGUUUAGUUCGGUUGAGGAAAGAAGGACAUGCCAAAUUGGAUCUGCACCCAAGCUAGCUGACUGGUAAUUAAUUAUGUAUACUUUUAAUUCUGUGAUAGCUGUUAGGUGUCUCUGGGGUUCCAUUUUGGGGUUGUGAUGUACGUAUGAACAAUUAUAUGCGAGCAAACCAACAAUCUCAGCAAUGAAUGAGGACUACCAAAUAGCCUUUGUGGUUGUAGAAUUUACUGCAAUUUUCUUUGAACAAUCCUACCUGCAACUGCAGAACAUCUUGUGAUUUUAUUUUUAUUUUAUCACUUAAUUACUACACGUUCCUGCCAUCAAUUUACACUGGUCUUCUACCAGUUGUUUCUUCUAUUCAAUCCUCAUCUCUCUAUAACUUCUCCACACCCUCCUCCUCCCCAUACAUUUAAUUAAGAAUUAAUUAGAGCUAACCUCAUCCCUCUCCGAUUCAGUAUAUAUAGUAGGCUUAUAGGUCCAAUCACAGCAGACACAAGGACCCCAGGUCGAUUGUGGGGUAGCUAGCUACCAUUGAGCCUGUUUCUCUUUUUGAUUUCUAUUUCUGAUUCUUCUUCCAUUGAAUUACUCCAACAGUCAUCUCUUCCAUUUGGUUGGCCAGAGUUUCUUGAUCUUAACUCUUAAGGUAAAGCAGAGGAUAGAGAAAUAUGAAGAGAAAGGCCAAUCCUCCGCUGGAUUUGAAGCUGAACCUGUCGCCACCAAGGGCGAAUCCCCAAGUGGAAUCGCCAAAGUUGUCGGCUUCUUCAGAGGUGUCGCCCAGGAGCUCAUGCGUUUCGAUGGAGCUGAGCUCGGAAGAGACCCAGACCCACCCCCACCAAUUGAACAGUCCUGAGGCAACUUCCAUGGUUCUUGUGGGGUGUCCCAGAUGCCUCUUGUAUGUGAUGCUAUCAGAGGUGGAUCGGAAAUGCCCCAAAUGCAAGAGCACCGUUUUGCUUGAUUUCCUCAAUGAAGAAGACACCAAACAAACCAGAAACUGAGGAUCUCACAUGGACCCUGCUUCAUGGUGCGCCUUAACGACUUCUCCACCUCCUCCUAGUUUUUAGGAUUUUUUUUUUUUGUUAAUUUUUAGUUUUCAUUCCGAGAGCUUUCCUUCUGCUUUUCUCUAUCAUGGGUUUAGUUGCCCAUUAGACUCAGGAAAGAAAAAGAAAAGUCGGAAUUGAGUUGGGUAAUGUAAGCUUUAGAAUUUUCUUCUCUUUUCCCAUGUCAUCUUUGCAACCAAAACUAGUUUUAUGCUUUCCUCCUUAAGAAUUAACCAAA